rnacentral:rRNA from 1 species
UACGAAGGUGGCAAGCGUUGUUCGGAUUUACUGGGCGUACAGGGAGCGUAGGCGGUUGGGUAAGCCCUCCGUGAAAUCUCCGGGCCUAACCCGGAAAGUGCGGAGGGGACUGCUCGGCUAGAGGAUGGGAGAGGAGCGCGGGAAUUCCCGGUGUAGCGGUGAAAAUGCGUAGAGAUCGGGAGGAAGGCCGGUGGCGAAGGCGGCGCUCUGGAACAUUUCUGACGCUGAGGCUCGAAAAGCGUGGGGGAGCAAACAGG